GUGACCUCGCUGCCACUCACAGCUCCUUUUCGACGGACCGCUUCCAUGAGUAGACAAGGCACCGACGAUCACGGCUUGCAUCACCUGUACUGCUUCGUAAUAUAGUAUGCUGAACACCGCUGCCAUUAUACUAGGAACAACGUCCUGCCCCUUCCCCGGCUGCGCACAAAUUGGAACUCCAUUGGCAUGCCCCUUUGACUGAGCAACUUGUGUAUGUGUGUGUGCUCGAAACACAUUCACUGGCAACAGAAUGACUCCCAGGCUGACCUGGCUCAGUUCCUGUAUGUCUGAUCUACAUCCACAAUGGUUUCAAUGAAAGAGUUAAAAUUCUUCUCCAUGUACAAUCACUUCUAACGCCUACACUGACUACACCAAAUAUGAUCAUCACUCAACGUGUCUCACAUCAAGAUACUUUUCAAAAGUCAUCGA